rnacentral:lncRNA from 1 species
UAACGAGUUUGUUUCACUUUGGAGUUUGGACUUUCUUUCGUUACCGUUGAUUGUUGAAUCUUGAAUCAAUUGAAAGAAAUAUGGCGACCACAUUGUGACUUGCAAGUGUCCGGAUCGGGGCCAUUACGUCAACAAAAUCUGCCGUACUAAAACAGCACAGCAACUAUGCAUAGUAGCAGUGAAAACUGAAAAGCAACAUGGAGGCGUGUGGAUUUUCGGGGAGAAAUUGACAGCUCUCGGAUAAGAAACUAUUGCAUGGGAGGACCUUAAAGCGAGUUAUUAUUGGAGCAGCCCUAUAUCAAUUCUAACAGUUGCUGGAAGAUUUGGCCGUUACAGAAUUUUAUAAAGCCCUUUGACAAUGAAAGCAAUGCAAUAUGUGAAGCAGGUGGCUUCCAUGGCAAAAACAAAUCCUCUCUGGAUCUUGACAAAUAAGUGACUAGAGUUUUUUUGAGACCACUUUGAGACUGUCAUCAAAGUGGAGAAAGAAAAAGAGAAACUUAUUCUACUCCCUUCAAGACUGUCACUGUAUGGAAGGCUGUCACAAAACAUGUUAACCAGGAAACAAGUGAUGCAAACCAACUUCUAAAACUCAGUGAUGACCGUUUAAUGUUCGUGUCAACUGCCCACCCUUGAGGACCGCCCAGUCAAAGAACCGCCAACCUAAUCGCAACCUGCUGCAGCCAGCACUGAGAACUCGCGAUUACGAGGAACUACACAACUUUGUAUGGCAGUUGCAGAACCACAAGAGCUCCUUGCCGUUCCUCAAGUCUGUGGCUGUAACAGAAGUAACAACUUUUAUAAGAUCAUCAAGAUUACAAAGAGUUGAUACCUGCGACUUGUCGUUGGUCUUUUCCGAGUAUUUCUUUUACUUCAGGUUCAAAACCUAUAGCAUUCUGUUGUUUAAGAUGGCGUGAUGAAGUACCAGUGGUGAAGUCAGAAAUGGAAACAGUUAACUAUGGCGUUGUGCUGCUGUUGGUUGUUGUAUCGUUGAUGACUGGGUCGACCACGAGUGUACCGAUGUCUGGGUAUGGUGGAUUCCAAGCAACAGCAGCGAAAGAAUAGUACACCACGUUGCAGCCUUAAUACACAACAACGUCAACAUAAGCAACACCUACUUACUACACUGAUGCUCGUAAGUACUACACCACCUAGGCUCCAAGACUACACGAAAACUUACGUUUCCCUGAGCGACCUGUGAAACACGAAAGUAUUUCUCUGCCCCGAGUUACACAGAGUUACAUCACCAAAGCGCCUGAGUACUACACUGAGGCUCCCAAUUACUAUUCUGAUCAUAGCUACUACACCGAGGCUGCAGCUUGUUACACCACCAAAGCGGUCGAGUGCUACACCGAAGCGUCCAAGUACUACACUGAAACCUACUGCCGCGCACAAUUUGUCACCAAUUGCCUUCUUCAUCGUAUUGAUCCUGUUCUCAAUAACGGCUAACUAUGGCUUUAUGUUGCGUUUUGUUUUUGCAUUGUUGAUGGCUGUGUCCAACAUGGGUGUACCGAUGUCUCAUGGGAAUGGCGUAUAGCAAACCGCAACGCCGCUGCCUUACUACACAACAACAACAACAUACGCAACAUUCGGUUACUACACCACCAAGUCUUAAGAGUAUUACACCGAAACUUAUGAUGCCCCGAGCUACUACACCGAGGUCCGAACUAUAAGUCUGCCUGAGCUACAUUACCAAAGAGCCGGAGUACUACCCCAAAGCGCCCAAAUACUACAUUAAAACCUACGCUGCCCCGAGCUACUACACCGACGCCCCGAAGUUUUAGUCUUUUCAAAUGCAGAUUAAUGAAAUUACAUUAAUAACAAUUCGUUAACACAAUACAUUUUAUUCUAUGUCUAUGUUAACUACAUAAAAAUAAAUUUAUUAUUCAUUAAUCACAUGAGUAAAUAAAUAAAUAUGACUAAUAAUAUUAAUCCGU